UACUAGAGUAGCACUCGCAUAUCAAUAAGCGGAGGAAAAGAAACUAACAAGGAUUCCCUUAGUAACGGCGAGUGGAGCGGGAAGAGCUCAAAUUUGAAAUCUUCAAGGUUCUACCUUGACGAAUUGUAGUUUAUAGAAGUGUUUUCUGUUAGUAGAGUGGCAAAAGUUCUUUGGAAUAGGACAUCAUAGAGGGUGAGAAUCCCGUAUUUGGUCAUUCUUUCUAGCUUUGUGAUACACUUUCAACGAGUCGGAUUGUUUGGGAAUGCAGUCCAAAAUGGGUGGUAAAUUUCAUCUAAAGCUAAAUAUUGGCGAGAGACCGAUAGCGAACAAGUACCGUGAGGGAAAGAUGAAAAGAACUUUGAAAAGAGAGUUAAACAGUACGUGAAAUUGUCAAAAGGGAAGCGUUUGACACCAGUGUUGUUUUUCCGAAAAUCAAUUACGAAUGUUUUGUUUUUGAGAAGUUAUGACUUCAUCGGCUUGCUUCUUUCUUUACGAAACUUUCUUGAUGCACUUUUCGGUUAACAAGUCAACAUCAAUUUCUUUUGUUGUAAAAGGGUACGAGGAAGGUGGCUUUCUUUUCGGAGAAAGUGUUUAAAGCCUUGUACCUCUGCAAUCGGAGAGAUUGAGGUCUGCAGCGUAGAUCCUUCGGGGUUAGAUACAUUUGUGCUAAGUUAUAGCUUUUCAUAGACAACUUGUUGACUAUGUUUAGUCUUGUAGCUUACUCGCUUGUGCUAUUUUACCUACGCUUAGGAUAUUGAAGAUGUAGCACAUCAU
rnacentral:rRNA from 1 species